rnacentral:rRNA from 1 species
GACGAACGCUGGCGGCGUGCUUAACACAUGCAAGUCGAACGCUGAAGCUCUGCUUUUGUUGGGUGGAUGAGUGGCGAACGCGUGCGUAUCACGUGAGUAACCUGCCUCCUUCUUUGGGAUAACGCCAGGAAACGGGUGCUAAUACUAGAUAUUCUCUGAUCUUCGCUUGGGGGUUGGUGGUAAGGGUUUUUCUGGUGGGGGAUGGAGUCGCGGCCUGUCUGCUUGUUGGUGGGGUGAUGGGCUGCCAAAGCUUUGGCGGUUAGCCGGCCUGAUGAGGUGACCGGGCACAGUGUGACGGAGAAGCGGCCUAGGCUAGUACGGGGGGGAGCAGGGGGGACUAUUGGACAAUGGGCGCAAGCCUGAUGCAGCGACGCCGCGUGAGGGAUGGAGGCCUUCGGGUUGUGAUCCUCUUUCGCUCAUGGUCAAGCCGCAACCAUGGUUGUGGUGAGGGUAGUGGGUAAAGAAGCGCCGGCUAACUACGUG